CAUAUGAUGGAGUAACUACGUCAGGGUCCAAACAGUUCAGCAAGUUGCCAAGACCGUAUUUCUGGAGUUCAGCAAGGACCCUUCUGGAGCCCAGCAUAACUGUCUUUUCAGCCACACUUCAUUUUUCCCACCCUGGGAGAACAUGGUUUUUAAACAACUUGUGGUAAAAAUCUGGUGGAGAAGAUAACAACAGCAUGUCACACGGCAGUCACCAGAGGAUCAGGAGGUAGUUUUACAGAAACCCUGGGCAACUCGUCAGCCAGCUGAUUAAGUUUCAAAAAUGUACUCAGCAACGUUUCCUGUUUGAUCACUGUUAUCACUUUAUCUCACUCUACGGUGGAGGCAGCACAGGCAGCAUGCGGUGUUUGGGGCAUUCAACUUCCCAUCUGGCCUCUGCUUUGGGAGUGGCCUGGCAGCUCCCAGGCAAAAGGACCCAUCCCGCCUGGCUCUUGGUGUUUGGAGCACAGGACAGGACAGUUUUGCUUCGCUCUUGAAGUCCCCCUUUCUAAUCAAGGGGCAUGGACUGGUGGCACCCUGUAUCCUCCACUCACUUGGUGUAGAGAAUGAAAGCAAGCCUACUCUUUAUGUUAAAAUACAACUUGCAACUUGCUGUGCAAAGGCGACACUCCCAAAUCUCUCAUCAGUGGCCAACGGGACAUCUAAUUGCUUAGCUGGGCAAACGGGACCCGUUCCUGACUGCAGAAGCUGGAUAAAAACUACGUUCCGGUUUACUCCCAAAUGUUUACUCUCCCCACGCUCACCAAAGGGCCCUGCAUGCAGUUCACGUGCCGUCAAGAAGACAAAGCAUAAAGAUGUAAGGACCCCCGGGCAGGGAGAGGGGAGGAGCCCACGUUCCUGGGGUGUAAGCAGAACCCGUCAAGUUUUCUGCUUGAAAAGACCAUUGCCACUGCUUUGCUCCUGAGCGUCCUGCUUCGUGGUGAGAAGAAGACAUGGAAGUUGCUCUGAAGGGAUUUGUAAUCUGCAUCAUAAAUGUUUUCCAGGCCUCUCACAAUAAAACUCUUUGUGCAGAUGUUUGCCGAUCCCUGGGAUGCAUAUUCUGCCUCCAAUUUUUGUAGAAAAUGUUGUGUGUGUGUGUGUGUGUGUGUGUGUGUGUGUGUGUGUGUGAUAGUAACAAGCAAAACUGAAUAGUAAAGACUGUGAUAUAUGUGUUGCUGUACAAAGCCGAUCUGAAGCCAUGCUGCUUUUCUUCUCUCCUUGCUGAUGUCCUCCUCCAAGGAGAAGAAAACUUUGCUCUGAACUUUGAAACUUCAGUUUUUUUGU